rnacentral:rRNA from 1 species
GACGUAGGGUGCAAGCGUUGUCCGGAUUUAUUGGGCGUAAAGAGUUCGUAGGCGGUUUAGUAAGUCUAAUGUUAAAUACCGGAGCUCAACUCCGGCAUGGCAUUGGAUACUGCUAGGCUAGAGUCUGGUAGAGGUAAGGGGAAUUCCUGGUGUAGCGGUGAAAUGCGUAGAUAUCAGGAGGAACACCGGUGGCGAAAGCGCCUUACUGGACCAUGACUGACGCUGAGGAACGAAAGCUAGGGUAGCGAAAGGG